GUAAACCUACGGGGGGCAGCAGUGGGGAAUAUUGCACAAUGGGGGAAACCCUGAUGCAGCGACGCCGCGUGAGUGAAGAAGUAUUUCGGCAUGUAAAGCCCUAUCGGCAGGGAAGAAGCAAGACGGUACCUGACUAAGAAGCCCCGGCUAACUACGUGCCAGCAGCCGCGGUAAUACGUAGGGGGCGAGCGUUAUCCGGAUUCACUGGGUGUGAAGGGAGCGUAGACGGCCAUGCAAGCCAGGGG
rnacentral:rRNA from 1 species